AGCUUCAGUAGCGUAUAUUAAAGUUGUUGCAGUUAAAAAGCUCGUAGUCGCAUUUCUGGCGAGAGGAUCCGGUCCGACCUUUUGGUGGGUUCUUGGGUCUCUUUCGCCAUCCUUGAGUGGUCCGUUCUGGCAUUAGGUUGUCGGAGCGUCAGCCGCUCAUCGUUUACUGUGAGAAAAUUAGAGUGUUCAAAGCAGGCUUAUGCCGUUGAAUAUAUUAGCAUGGAAUAAUAAGAUAGGACCUCGGUACUAUUUUGUUGGUUUGCGCACCAAGGUAAUGAUUAACAGGGACAGUUGGGGGUAUUUGUAUUUCGUUGUCAGAGGUGAAAUUCUUAGAUUUACGAAAGACAAACUACUGCGAAAGCAUUUUCCAAGGAUGUUUUCA
rnacentral:rRNA from 1 species